UAGGGAAUCUUCGGCAAUGGACGAAAGUCUGACCGAGCAACGCCACGUGAGUGAAGAAGGUUUUCGGAUCGUAAAACUCUGUUGGUAGAGAAGAACGUUGGUGAGAGUGGAAAGCUCAUCAAGUGACGGUAACUACCCAGAAAGGGACGGCUAACUACGUGCCAA
rnacentral:rRNA from 1 species